GACGAACGCUGGCGGCGUGCUUAACACAUGCAAGUCGAACGGAAAGGCCCUGCUUUUGUGGGGUGCUCGAGUGGCGAACGGGUGAGUAACACGUGAGUAACCUGCCCUUGACUUUGGGAUAACUUCAGGAAACUGGGGCUAAUACCGGAUAGGAGCUCCUGCUGCAUGGUGGGGGUUGGAAAGUUUCGGCGGUUGGGGAUGGACUCGCGGCUUAUCAGCUGGUUGGUGGGGUAGUGGCUUACCAAGGCUUUGACGGGUAGCCGGCCUGAGAGGGUGACCGGCCACAUUGGGCCUGAGGUACGGCCCAGAAUCCUACGGGAGGCAGCAGUGGGGAAUAUUGCACAAUGGGCGGAAGCCUGAUGUAGCAACGCCGCGUGCGGGAUGCCGGCCUUCGGGUUGUAAACCGCUUUCGCCUGUGACGAAGCGUGAGUGACGGUAAUGGGUAAAGAAGCACCGGCUAACUACGUG
rnacentral:rRNA from 1 species